rnacentral:rRNA from 1 species
UCCGAAGUCUGGAAAUCGCGAAUGGCAUCUAGAUUAGAGUUUGGAUCAUGGGCUCAGAUUGAACGCUGGCGGCAGGCUUAACACAUGCAAGUCGAGCGGGGGAAGGUAGCUUGCUACCGGACCUAGCGGCGGACGGGUGAGUAAUGCUUAGGAAUCUGCCUAUUAGUGGGGGACAACAUCUCGAAAGGGAUGCUAAUACCGCAUACGUCCUACGGGAGAAAGCAGGGGAUCUUCGGACCUUGCGCUAAUAGAUGAGCCUAAGUCGGAUUAGCUAGUUGGUGGGGUAAAGGCCUACCAAGGCGACGAUCUGUAGCGGGUCUGAGAGGAUGAUCCGCCACACUGGGACUGAGACACGGCCCAGACUCCUACGGGAGGCAGCAGUGGGGAAUAUUGGACAAUGGGGGGAACCCUGAUCCAGCCAUGCCGCGUGUGUGAAGAAGGCCUCAAUGGGCUGUAAAGUCACUUUAAGCGAGGAGGAGGCUACUUAAGGUAAAUACCUUAGAGAUAGUGGAGCGUUACUCGCAGAAUAAGCACCGGCCUAACUCUGUGCCAGGCAGCCGCGGUAAUACAAGAGGGGUGGCGAGCGUUAAUUCGGAUUUACUGGGGCGUAAAGCGUGCCGUAGGCGGCUUAUUAAGUCGGAUGUGAAAUCCCCCGAGCUUAACUUGGGAAAUUGCAUUCGAUAACUGGUGAGCCAGAGUAUGGGAGAAGGAUGGUAGAAUUCCAGGUGUAGCGGUGAAAUGCGUAGAGAUCUGGAGGAAUACCGAUGGCGAAGGCAGCCAUCUGGCCUAAUACUGACGCUGAGGUACGAAAGCAUGGGGAGCAAACAGGAUUAGAUACCCUGGUAGUCCAUGCCGUAAACGAUGUCUACUAGCCGUUGGGGCCUUUGAGGCUUUAGUGGCGCAGCUAACGCGAUAAGUAGACCGCCUGGGGGAGUACGGUCGCAAGACUAAAACUCAAAUGAAUUUGACGGGGGCCCGCACAAGCGGUGGAGCAUGUUGGUUUAAUUUCGAUGCAACGCGAAGAACCUUACCCUGGCCUUUGACAUUACUAGAAACUUUCCAGAGAUGGAAUUGGUGCCUUCGGGAAUCUAAAAUACAGGUGCCUGCAUGGCUGUCGUCAGCUCGUGUCCCGAGAAUGUUGGGAUAAGUCCCCGCCAACGGAGCGCAACCCUUUUCCUUACUUGCCAGCAUUUCGGAUGGGAACUUUAAGGAUACUGCCAGUGACACAAACCUGGUACGAUAGGCGGGGACGACGUCAAGUCAUCAUGGCCCUUACGGCCAGGGCUACACACGUGCUACAAUGGUUGGUACAAAGGGUUGCUACACAGCGAUGUGAUGCUAAUCUCAAAAAGCCGAUCGUAGUCCGGAUUGGAGUCUGCAACUCGACUCCAUGAAGUCGGAAUCGCUAGUAAUCGCGGAUCAGAAUGCCGCGGUGAAUACGUUCCCGGGCCUUGUACACACCGCCCGUCACACCAUGGGGGUUUGUUGCACCAGAAGUAGCUAGCCUAACUGCAAAGAGGGCGGUUACCACGGUGUGGCCGAUGACUGGGGUGAAG